UACGUAGGGAGCAAGCGUUGUCCGGAAUCAUUGGGCGUAAAGCGCGCGUAGGUGGCCAUUUAAGUCCGCUGUGAAAGUCAAAGGCUCAACCUUUGAAAGCCGGUGGAUACUGGAUGGCUAGAGUACGGAAGAGGCGAGUGGAAUUCCUGGUGUAGCGGUGGAAUGCGCAGAUAUCAGGAGGAACACCAAUAGCGAAGGCAGCUCGCUGGGACGUUACUGACACUGAGGCGCGAAAGCGUGGGGGAGCGAACAGG
rnacentral:rRNA from 1 species